GUUCCGGAACCUGACCUGAGCUGGGGCCUGUGCUUCCAGCGGGUGGUGGGGGGCCUGGUGUGCUGGCAUCAAGUAAGCGGACUACCUCGGCAAAGGCUUAGGGACAAGAGACUGGCAGCCUGAACUGGCUGGGGCAUCCGGAAGGCUUAGAUCUUGUGGCCAAGGGUUCAGACCGUGGCGAAGUGGAGAGUGACAUGCAGUUGGAUGGCGGUGACUGCGUGGUCCUGCAACCCUGGUUCCAGUCUGGCAAGCAUUCUAGACCUGGCUGCUGAAGACUGACGGGGCCCAGGGUCCGCUGCCCCCACCGCCAUCACCACCUCGGAACCCAGGGUAACGCUGUCAGUCUCUGAUGACAUCAGAAGUGGGAUCCAAAGUAGAGCUUAUAAUGACACCCAGGAGUGCUGAGUGACCAAGCAAGGUACCCACCAGGCCGAUUAUGUCCAUUGUUCUCUUGGAGCAGCUGGUCAUCAUGUGUCCUGCUCUGUCACCCAGGUUGAAGUGCAGUGGGCGAUCAUGGCUCACAGCAGCCUCGACCUCCCAAGAUCAAGCAAUCCU
rnacentral:sRNA from 1 species